rnacentral:lncRNA from 10 species
CUGGGAACCUGGACUUCUGGUCUGUCAGUGUCCGGGUGAAGGGGCAGAGUGAGAAAGGAGGGGGAGAGAAAGACACUGGGUAACACACCUGCCAGUCUACCUGUCGAUUUAGUCUUCAAGCUAAAUAAGAGAAUGCCACCGAUGUGACUCUAGGCAACUGACCUUGCAGAAUCACAGAACUCCAUAAUGUCACCCUGGAAGUGGCAAGACAAUUCAGUCUGGAGUAGUUUUGAAAUCCAGCAGCAUGCAACCACAUUGAAAAACAGCAGGCUAGCAGCCACAAGAGGGGGCAGAACAAGGUUGGAGGACCUCCCAAGUUCAUUCCCACAGAAUUGUUAUUAUUUGACCUGUCUGGUGGUUUCUUAGAAGACUCCACUUUCAAGGCUGUCUUUAUUUUACCAGAAUCUGAGCUUACCCAGUGUGAAUAGCUUUUUACUUGGAGGUGUUUGUCAAAAACAAUUAGAGGCAAUUAUUAAAUCAUGUUGCUGGAAGUGGCAGAUGACAGCUGGGACAAACAAUAGGUUAACCAAAAAGCAUAAAAGGAAAAGCUGGGGAAUGAGACAUCCACAGUGGGCUUUGAAAAGCUCCUAGAUAUCUCUGGGAAUCUAACAGACCAUGAGCAUGCACAGGGCUGUGCCCAGGGUUCUACACAUGCUCAGGAAAGACUCGAGACUGCUGUAAGCUUUCAUCUCUGCCUAACUUUGAGGCUCUGUGCAAAUAAGAAGGAAAGGCUACUAUAGAGUUGUGAACUACCCGCCUGAGUGUUGGAGGCAUGCCCCAAAACACAUACAGAGUCCCUUGGCAAAGACUGGGAGAACGAUUGGAUCCAGGAACCUAGGGAAUUUUCUGUCUAAUCAUUAGCUGACCUCUAGGCUAACCUAGCAGAGACUUCAGUGGCCACACACAACAAAGAAUAUGAAUUUUACAGAAUUAGUUUAGAAAAGUCACUAAACAAGCAACAAUAAUAAAGAGUAACAACCACAAACCCUAGAACAGGAGAUAAUCUCCUGUUCUCCAACCACAAUGGAACAGAAUUAGAAACCAAUAACAGAAGGAAAACUGGAAAAUUCACGAAUACAUGGGAAAUGAAAUAACAUACUCCUAAAUAAAGGGUCAAAGAAGAAAGCACAAAAAAAUUAGAAAAUACUUUGAGAUGAAUCAAAAAAAUGUAACACACUAAAGCUUAUGGGAUAUAGUGAAAACAGUACUUAGGAAUGCAUAGCCGU